GAAAUCCUGACAGAAAUGCAGCCCUGGAGGAUGGAGCGGCCCUGUUCUUGGGGGUUCCUGGCUCCUGUCCUCAUGGCGUGCAGUGCCAUGGGCAGGCUGAGGCUGAGUGUGCUAGGAAGCAGAGACUAUACAAACUAGGAACCGUGAGAAGAGCUGACUGGGAAUGGGUGCCAAGCUCAAUCACAGAGUCUGGUAUGCCAGUUACCCCUGCUCAUGGUGAAGUCAAGGAGACGAUGGAUCCCCAGCUAGAGCAACAGGCUGCAGAACAAGCUUGAUGACAACACCAGGAGAGGACAACGGAAUCUGCUCCUGCCCCCGCUCUGCUGUUCUCAGACAGCAGACAGGGUACACACUUGCUGCCUCAUGCCCAGGGGGCCCUCAAGCUGUGGAUUGGCUGUCUACCUUCUUGGAUCUCCUGUACUUCGGUCGUCCCCGUUUUCCAUGGGAGCUCCUCGUUCCUGGAAUGGCUGGUUGGUGUCCCCUCUUGGGCACACUUCUGAUUUUAUAAACGACAGGUGCUGCCGGCCCAGUGCUUCGGUCCCUCCAUCUGGCUUAGCCUCUAGUACACUAGCAGAGUAUCUCUGUGAUCAAGAUACAUGGCCCAAACUUACUGUGAUUUAAACUCUGCAAAAGUACAUUUUGGAGUUUCACAUUUAAGUUUUUAAAAUUUUAACUAAACUCUGCUUGAAACAAAAUUAAACUUUUCUCAAUUUAAAAUUAAAUAAGGAUCCAGAUGGUGGCAUGUACCUUUAAUUGCACCACUGGAGGAACAUGAGUUUCUGGCUAGCCUGGGCUACACAGUAAGACCCAUCACCAAACAAAAUGCAAAAAAAGGAGCAAACAACAACCUAAUAAAGGCAAACCAGUAGCAGAAUGCAAAGACCUGUCUGGAAGGACCACUGGACAUAUACAAAGAGGAGGCACGCUCAAAUAAAAAACUAUGUGAAAAAA
rnacentral:lncRNA from 1 species